AGAGUUUGAUCAUGGCUCAGAUUGAACGCUGGCGGCAUGCCUUACACAUGCAAGUCGAACGGCAGCGCGGACUUCGGUCUGGCGGCGAGUGGCGAACGGGUGAGUAAAAUAUCGGAACAUACCCUAGAGUGGGGGAUAACGUAGCGAAAGUUACGCUAAUACCGCAUACGAUCUAAGGAUGAAAGCGGGGGAUCUUCGGACCUCGUGCUCCUGGAGUGGCCGAUAUCUGAUUAGCUAGUUGGUGGGGUAAAGGCCCACCAAGGCGACGAUCAGUAGCUGGUUUGAGAGAACGACCAGCCACACUGGGACUGAGACACGGCCCAGACUCCUACGGGAGGCAGCAGUGGGGAAUUUUGGACAAUGGGGGCAACCCUGAUCCAGCAAUGCCGCGUGAGUGAAGAAGGCCUUCGGGUUGUAAAGCUCUUUUGUCAGGGAAGAAAUGGCGGACUCUAACAUAGUCUGUCGAUGACGGUACCUGAAGAAUAAGCACCGGCUAACUACGUGCCAGCAGCCGCGGUAAUACGUAGGGUGCAAGCGUUAAUCGGAAUUACUGGGCGUAAAGCGUGCGCAGGCGGUUGUGUAAGUCAGAUGUGAAAUCCCCGGGCUUAACCUGGGAACUGCAUUUGAGACUGCACAGCUAGAGUGUGUCAGAGGGGGGUAGAAUUCCACGUAGCAGUGAAAUGCGUAGAUAUGUGGAGGAAUACCGAUGGCGAAGGCAGCCCCCUGGGAUAACACUGACGCUCAUGCACGAAAGCGUGGGGAGCAAACAGGAUUAGAUACCCUAGUAGUCC
rnacentral:rRNA from 1 species